CCCAAGAAAUGCAUCCGAAAUUGCUGAGCGUGAGUACUUAAGAGGAUCGCGGAAUUCCCGGUGUAGAGGUGAAAUUCGUAGAUAUCGGGAGGAACACCAGUGGCGAAGGCGGCGAUCUGGGAAGAUACUGACGCUGAGGUGCGAAAGCGUGGGGGAGCAAACAGGAUUAGAUACCCUGGUAGUCCACGCCGUAAACGAUGAGUGCUAGAUGCUGUGGGUAUUGACCCCCGCGGUGUCGCAGCCAACGCGUUAAGCACUCCGCCUGGGGAGUACGGCCGCAAGGCUAAAACUCAAAGGAAUUGACGGGGGCCCGCACAAGCGGUGGAGCAUGUGGUUCAAUUCGACGCAACGCGCAGAACCUUACCUGGGUUAAAUCCACUCGAACCUUGCAGAGAUGCAGGGGUGCCUUU
rnacentral:rRNA from 1 species